GGACAGAUGGGAGCUUGCUCCCUGAUGUUAGCGGCGGACGGGUGAGUAACACGUGGGUAACCUGCCUGUAAGACUGGGAUAACUCCGGGAAACCGGGGCUAAUACCGGAUGGUUGUUUGAACCGCAUGGUUCAAACAUAAAAGGUGGCUUCGGCUACCACUUACAGAUGGACCCGCGGCGCAUUAGCUAGUUGGUGAGGUAACGGCUCACCAAGGCAACGAUGCGUAGCCGACCUGAGAGGGUGAUCGGCCACACUGGGACUGAGACACGGCCCAGACUCCUACGGGAGGCAGCAGUAGGGAAUCUUCCGCAAUGGACGAAAGUCUGACGGAGCAACGCCGCGUGAGUGAUGAAGGUUUUCGGAUCGUAAAGCUCUGUUGUUAGGGAAGAACAAGUACCGUUCGAAUAGGGCGGUACCUUGACGGUACCUAACCAGAAAGCCACGGCUAACUACGUGCCA
rnacentral:rRNA from 1 species